UACGUAGGAUGCAAGCGUUGUCCGGAAUUAUUGGGCGUAAAGAGCGCGCAGGCGGUUUGCCAAGUCAGAUGUGAAAGAGGCCGGCUUAACCGGCAAGGGUCAUUUGAAACUGACAGACUAGAGUGCAGCAGAGGAUAGCGGAAUUCCCGGUGUAGUGGUGAAAUGCGUAGAUAUCGGGAGGAACACCGGUGGCGAAGGCGGCUAUCUGGGCUGCAACUGACGCUGAGGCGCGAAGGCUAGGGUAGCAAACAGG
rnacentral:rRNA from 1 species